UUGAUCUCAUGUGUAUGAUUGAG
rnacentral:snRNA from 1 species